rnacentral:rRNA from 1 species
AUGGCGACCGGCGCACGGGUGAGUAACGCGUAUGCAACUUACCUAUCAGAGGGGGAUAGCCCGGCGAAAGUCGGAUUAAUACCCCAUAAAACAGGGGUCCCGCAUGGGAAUAUUUGUUAAAGAUUCAUCGCUGAUAGAUAGGCAUGCGUUCCAUUAGGCAGUUGGCGGGGUAACGGCCCACCAAACCGACGAUGGAUAGGGGUUCUGAGAGGAAGGUCCCCCACAUUGGUACUGAGACACGGACCAAACUCCUACGGGAGGCAGCAGUGAGGAAUAUUGGUCAAUGGCCGAGAGGCUGAACCAGCCAAGUCGCGUGAAGGAAGAAGGAUCUAUGGUUUGUAAACUUCUUUUAUAGGGGAAUAAAGUGGAGGACGUGUCCUUUUUUGUAUGUACCCUAUGAAUAAGCAUCGGCUAACUCCGUGCCAGCAGCCGCGGUAAUACGGAGGAUGCGAGCGUUAUCCGGAUUUAUUGGGUUUAAAGGGUGCGUAGGUGGUGAUUUAAGUCAGCGGUGAAAGUUUGUGGCUCAACCAUAAAAUUGCC